rnacentral:tRNA from 1 species
GGCGACAUAGCCAAGUGGUAAGGCGUAGGUCUGCAACACCUUGAUCAUGAGUUCAAAUCUCAUUGUCGCCU